rnacentral:rRNA from 1 species
UACAGAGGUCCCAAGCGUUGUUCGGAUUCACUGGGCGUAAAGGGUGCGUAGGCGGUUGGACAAGUCUGAUGUGAAAUCCCGCAGCUUAACUGCGGAACGGCAUUGGAAACUGUCCGACUAGAGGAAUGGAGGGGAGACUGGAAUACUUGGUGUAGCAGUGAAAUGCGUAGAUAUCAAGUGGAACACCAGUGGCGAAGGCGAGUCUCUGGACAUUCCCUGACGCUGAGGCACGAAAGCCAGGGGAGCAAACGGG